GGUCUGGUGCUGACUACAGCUAUGUCGACCCACUGUGCUGGGGUCUAUGUUGCACGCUUGCAUUGGGGGUGUUUCUGUUGGAGAAUUAUACACUCUGCACAAUUGCUUAUUUUGGACAAGAAUUGAAAAAGGAAUGAGGACCACAGGCACACACUUUUAAGAGAAGAUGCGGCUAACAAGAGGUCCGAGAUAAUACUAUAAGGUGCAAGGCAAAAGCUCACUUUUGGAAACACUUGAGGAGGUGGUCCUCCUAGCUCUGGCGAAGGACAUGGAAGAUGGGCAGGGGGAGGCAAGACCCAAAUCCAGCCAUCCAAGUGACCCAGACCAUGGGGCCGGAACUGGAAGCAGCGCAAAACUGCAAAUCUCUCAGGGUGAUGAUUUGGAUGAUGUGCAACAGUGCAAUUCAGGUGGCUGCAGGUAGGGCUGAUCAUCAUAGUAGACUUUGCCAUCUGGGACUGGGAGCAGAUCAGAUCAGCUGAGCCCUUCCAUCCAUCCACAGCCUGAGCCCAGAGCCCUGCAGCUCAAGCUCAAGCGUUUGGCUGCCCCCCUGAAAUAUUCCAUUUGCUUGCUGCUGGCUGCCUAGCUGCUCUGUGCCUCGUGUACCCCUAUCAAGAUGCCUCCCAUCUGAUGUGAGAGCUCAGCCCAGUGUCUGUGCUCUCUCAUGGACAUUUUUUUACAGGGAAGCUUCCAAUUGUUUGGAGCUGGGAGAUGGCGGGGGCACAGCACGUGAAGCAGCGAGCCUGGCAGGGCGUUUGGGCAUCUGUGGGGGAGAGGGAGGAGAUCCAGCCAUGCCAUGCAGAACGGGACAGGAGGGAUGAUUGCCAAGUCGGCCCUGUCUCGUCCCUGUCGCCCCAGAGCUUUGCCUUUGCGUGUGUGCGUGCACUGUGCGGUGUGCACACAGACACAGGGCCGGCCGGAGGACCGGGACGUCGCAGAGAUGAUCACAGAUGUGUAGUCCAUCUUUUGGCUAGAUGUAGGCUACGGUUUGGCUAGAUGUGAUCUCUGGAACCAUGAUAUGAGUCUUAAUUUAAUUAAUGGUCAAAAUUAAGAAUUUUGGA